AGAGUUUGAUCCUGGCUCAGGAUGAACGCUGGCGGCAUGCCUAAUACAUGCAAGUCGAACGAGAGGAAGGAAAGCUUGCUUUUCUGAAUCUAGUGGCGAACGGGUGAGUAACACGUAGGUAACCUGCCCAUGUGCCCGGGAUAACUUCUGGAAACGGAUGCUAAAACCGGAUAGGUAGCAGACAAGCAUUUGACUGCUAUUAAAGUGGCUAUGGCCAUGAACAUGGAUGGACCUGCGGUGCAUUAGCUAGUUGGUGAGGUAACGGCCCACCAAGGCGACGAUGCAUAGCCGGCCUGAGAGGGCGGACGGCCACAUUGGGACUGAGACACGGCCCAAACUCCUACGGGAGGCAGCAGUAGGGAAUUUUCGUCAAUGGGGGGAACCCUGAACGAGCAAUGCCGCGUGAGUGAGGAAGGUCUUCGGAUCGUAAAGCUCUGUUGUAAGAGAAAAACGGCACUCAUAGGGAAUGAUGAGUGAGUGAUGGUAUCUUACCAGAAAGUCACGGCUAACUACGUGCCAGCAGCCGCGGUAAUACGUAGGUGGCGAGCGUUAUCCGGAAUGAUUGGGCGUAAAGGGUGCGUAGGUGGCAGAUCAAGUCUGGAGUAAAAGGUAUGGGCUCAACCCGUACUGGCUCUGGAAACUGAUCAGCUAGAGAACAGAAGAGGACGGCGGAACUCCAUGUGUAGCGGUAAAAUGCGUAGAUAUAUGGAAGAACACCGGUGGCGAAGGCGGCCGUCUGGUCUGGAUUCUGACACUGAAGCACGAAAGCGUGGGGAGCAAAUAGGAUUAGAUACCCUAGUAGUCCACGCCGUAAACGAUGAGAACUAGGUGUUGGGGGAAUAACUCAGUGCCGCAGUUAACGCAAUAAGUUCUCCGCCUGGGGAGUAUGCACGCAAGUGUGAAACUCAAAGGAAUUGACGGGGGCCCGCACAAGCGGUGGAGUAUGUGGUUUAAUUCGAAGCAACGCGAAGAACCUUACCAGGCCUUGACAUCCCUUGCAGAGGUAUAGAGAUAUAUCCGAGGUUAUCAAGGAGACAGGUGGUGCAUGGUUGUCGUCAGCUCGUGUCGUGAGAUGUUGGGUUAAGU
rnacentral:rRNA from 1 species